rnacentral:rRNA from 1 species
GACGAACGCUGGCGGCGUGCUUAACACAUGCAAGUCGAACGGAAAGGCCCUGCUUUUGUGGGGUGCUCGAGUGGCGAACGGGUGAGUAACACGUGAGUAACCUGCCCUUGACUUUGGGAUAACUUCAGGAAACUUGGGCUAAUACCGGAUAGGAGCUCCUGCUGCAUGGUGCGGGUUGGAAAGUUUCGGCGGUUGGGGAUGGACUCGCGGCUUAUCAGCUUGUUGGUGGGGUAGUGGCUUACCAAGGCUUUGACGGGUAGCCGGCCUGAGAGGGUGACCGGCCACAUUGGGACUGAGAUACGGCCCAGACUCCUACGGGAGGCAGCAGUGGGGAAUAUUGCACAAUGGGCGGAAGCCUGAUGCAGCAACGCCGCGUGCGGGAUGACGGCCUUCGGGUUGUAAACCGCUUUCGCCUGUGACGAAGCGUGAGUGACGGUAAUGGGUAAAGAAGCACCGGCUAACUACGUG